rnacentral:rRNA from 1 species
CUUGCUCCUAGUACGAGAGGAACAGAGCAAGGCGGCCUCUGGUGUACCGGUUGUCCGACAGGGCAGCGCCGGGCAGCUAAGCCGCUGAGGAUAACCCCUGAAAGCAUCUAAGGGGGAAGCCUUUCCCGAGAAGAGAUUUCCGUCUGCUUCUGGAUUCUCGCCGCAAGGCGGGGGUCCGGGGCGGAGGAGGACUCCGAUAGAAUAUCGGAUCGAUAGGACGGGGGUGUACGCUGGAAGCUCCGCAAGGGGCGACCAGUUCAGCUCGCCGUUACUAACCGUCCAACGCUCCCGUCAU